rnacentral:rRNA from 1 species
UACGAAGGGGGCUAGCGUUGCUCGAAUCGACUGGGCGUAAAGCGCACGUAGGCGGAUUGUUAAGUCAGGGGUGAAAUCCUGGAGCUCAACUCCAGAACUGCCUUUGAUACUGGCAAUCUCGAGUCCGGGAGAGGUGAGUGGAACUGCGAGUGUAGAGGUGAAAUUCGUAGAUAUUCGCAAGAACACCAGUGGCGAAGGCGGCUCACUGGCCCGGUACUGACGCUGAGGUGCGAAAGCGUGGGGAGCAAACAGG